rnacentral:rRNA from 1 species
UACGGAGGGUGCAAGCGUUGUCCGGAAUCACUGGGCGUAAAGGGCGCGUAGGCGGCUCAUGAAGGCUGUGGUGAAAGUCCGGGGCUCAACCUCGGAUCGGCCGUGGCGACUCGUGGGCUGGAGCACUGUAGAGGCGGGUGGAAUUCCGGGUGUAGCGGUGGAAUGCGUAGAGAUCCGGAAGAACACCAGUGGCGAAGGCGGCCCGCUGGGCAGUGGCUGACGCUGAGGCGCGACAGCCGUGGGGAGCAAACGAGGAU